CUUGUUGUAAAACAGGAAGCGGUGUGGCGGUAGAGGAAAGUAGCUAGCCUGGUGGCUAACGUGAUUGGAGUCUGAGUGCCGUGAAACGAAGUGGCAACAGAGUAGUUUGGGAGGAAAAGCUGUUACAACGCCAUUGAGUACACCUCGGUUUAAACGUGUGGUCGCCAUGUCCGAGACAUACGAUUUCCUGUUUAAGUUCCUUGUGAUUGGCAGCGCGGGGACUGGGAAAUCCUGCCUCCUUCAUCAGUUUAUUGAGAAUAAGUUCAAGCAAGACUCCAAUCACACCAUCGGUGUGGAAUUCGGUUCGAGAGUUGUCAAUGUUGGUGGAAAAACAGUCAAACUGCAGAUCUGGGAUACGGCAGGACAGGAGCGUUUCAGGUCAGUGACUCGUAGCUAUUAUCGGGGCGCAGCUGGGGCUCUCCUUGUCUACGACAUCACGAGUCGAGAGACCUACAAUGCUCUGACUAACUGGCUGACGGAUGCUCGGACACUGGCCAGCCCCAACAUUGUCAUCAUCCUUUGCGGCAACAAGAAAGAUUUGGAUGCAGACCGUGAGGUCACCUUUCUGGAAGCAUCUCGUUUUGCCCAGGAGAAUGAGUUGAUGUUUUUGGAGACGAGCGCAUUAACUGGGGAGAAUGUCGAAGAGGGUUUUCUCAAAUGUGCCCGCACGAUUCUUAAUAAGAUAGAGUCUGGUGAGCUGGACCCUGAAAGGAUGGGCUCUGGUAUCCAGUAUGGCGAUGCGUCCCUGAGGCAGUUGAGGCAGCCACGGGGCUCUGCUGCACAAAACAAGCAGCAGUGUAACUGCUAGGGCUGGGACACACUCCCUGUCCCUGCACACAACCUCUCCUGCUUCAGGUCAGCUCCAGGUGUGUCUGGGUGUCAUCCUUUCCCCCUUAAACCUGCUGAAACACCUAGAAACAUCUGGAUCACUUUUUAUGAAGUCAAUCUGCAACCUGCAUCUGCAACCACUGAGUUUGUGGAGUGACCCAGUGGUCAUGGAAAGGCACCUCUGAUCAAGUAAAGGGAUGGUAAAAGUGGUGUGGAGGAAUCUUGCAGAUUUAACCUUAUCCUGUGAUGUGUGUGUGUGUGUGUGUGUGUGUGUGUGUGUCUGUGUGUGUGUGUACACAAACACACUCGCAUUGUUCGUGUAGAGUAAACAGUCAUCAGCCUAAUCUCUGUGCACUGGGCUGAAGUGUAGAUAAAAACAUUCUCUAUAUUUCAUACAACGUCACUGACAUCAGCACAUUAGUUGACUUGCGUAUUCCCUGUUUAAAUGAAGGCUUAUCCAAUUCCUAGUAAAUAUUCUUUAAAAUGUCGACAGGGUGGCUGCUUGAAAGCAGUCGAAACUAGUUAUUCGAGUUUAUACUGCACAGACCAGUUUUGGGGAAAGUUGACCAUUUCCAUGAAUUCCGCAGCAUUGCCCUGGCUCUGAGAUGAUCUUGCUUGUACGGUACAAUCUGUGUUUUUAGUGAAGGUGCAGUAAAUGUAGGCUAAACCUUCUAUUUCCUAUAGAUCGUUGUGUCUGCUAUGCACCUAGAUAUAAAUAUUUGCAGCUGAGAACUGUAAGCACAAAGGGGAGAUGGUUGAUCUUCCUCUCCAGAAUUGUUGGUGAUCAAGAUUUAGUGCAUAUCAAUUGUUCACUGCAGAAUGGCUUGUGUAGGUUAUCACACUGAUCUCUUAACCUGCAGAAACCACUUUGCACUGGCUGUGUUAUUAUCCAAUGUAUCUGGCUGUGUUAUUUAUUGAUAUGAAACAAGCCACUAACCUUCUGCAUAUCGAAAAUUUUUAUUUUUAUUUUAUUGAUUUAUCCUUAAACAGAAAGACAACUUGAUGUCCUAUAGUUUAAUGUCGCCAAGCUCCAUGGCCCCAAAAUAUAGCACUCUAUUAUGUUGAAGUGAAAAUGCUAGGAAAUAGUUUUUUUGUUUGUUUGUUUCUGUGCACAGAAAUCUAGAAUAAUACUAUCCCAAAAGAUUUAGGAGGCUUUUUUGCACUGUGUGAUAAGUUGAGAACCAUUACACACCACAGAGACCAGAAGUCUUCACAAGGCCACUCCACUAGGGGAAUAGCAGUAUGAAUGGUUAGAUAUGUUUGUUCGCCUGCUCUUGCACACCAAACCUUUUUCAGCUUCGGUGUUUUAAAAAUCGUCUCUGUGAUUAUGUGAAGGUUCUCUUUCUGUUCUUUGUUCUUUUUUUUUUUUUUCUUUUUUUUUUUUAACCCUCUCUGCAAGUGCACUUUUUGACUGUUAAUGUACUGUACCUAUAGAACUGUAAAAUUUGCAGUAAUCAAAAUACUAUAUAGUGACAAUUAUUAUAAGGAGUAAGCAUUCUUUACUAAAAAAAAAUAAUAAUAAAUAAAUAAUUAGUCCAGUACUAUUUCAGUGGUCCAAAAUGAUGUUACUAUGGUUACGCCUAGGUAGUUGGUGAAGACAGUGUAUUGCAAAAUACUGAGCAAUUUAGUUUAAUUCUCACACUGCCUGCAUGCCCUCGGUUCACUGACUUUGUCUGUGCAACUUGAGGGGUAGAAAUCAUUUAGGGGUUAUAUUUAAUAAGGAUUUAACUUCUAUCUUACCUGUUCUGAAAUGUUUUAGUACUAUAACUGGGCAUUUACAGAUGAUAAAUCACUUGACAAACAGCAUUUCUUGACAGUAAAUUGGCACACAUGUUUUGGCAGAUUGAUUUGUUCCUGUAAAUUACAAUCAUGUAUAUGAUUCAAACAACAUGACCUAUAUGCUUAAGCAUAUUACUGCUAACCAAAAAAUGAAACCUGGUCUUUUUGUGUUGAUUUGGACAGCAGUGUCUCUGAUUACAUCUGUCUUUACUCUGAAUGUUUAAAGACUUGCCCAUGUACUGCAGAAACUCAUUUGUUGCUUAGCAACCAGUGUGGUUUUUGUUCACCCAUGAAUACUGUAUAUCUGAAUCAUCCAUGAUGUAAAUAAUAUUGAACUUGUCUAUUGGAUUGUUCGGGGGGAGGGUGCUUGUUACAUUUUAAGGUUUAACAACUAUAAGUAAAGAUUGCUUGUUUUUUUAUGUUA